AGGUAAAUCCGGUUCACUUUAACACUGAGGCGUGACGACGAGGCACUACGGUGCUGAAGCAACAAAUGCCCUGCUUCCAGGAAAAGCCUCUAAGCCUCAGGUAACAUCAAAUCGUACCCCAAACCGACACAGGUGGUCAGGUAGAGAAUACCAAGGCGCUUGAGAGAACUCGGGUGAAGGAACUAGGCAAAAUGGUGCCGUAACUUCGGGAGAAGGCACGCUGACACGUAGGUGAAGUGGUUUACCCAUGGAGCUGAAGUCAGUCGAAGAUACCAGCUGGCUGCAACUGUUUAUUAAAAACACAGCACUGUGCAAACACGAAAGUGGACGUAUACGGUGUGACGCCUGCCCGGUGCCGGAAGGUUAAUUGAUGGGGUCAGCGCAAGCGAAGCUCCUGAUCGAAGCCCCGGUAAACGGCGGCCGUAACUAUAACGGUCCUAAGGUAGCGAAAUUCCUUGUCGGGUAAGUUCCGACCUGCACGAAUGGCGUAAUGAUGGCCAGGCUGUCUCCACCCGGGACUCAGUGAAAUUGAACUCGCUGUGAAGAUGCAGUGUACCCGCGGCAAGACGGAAAGACCCCGUGAACCUUUACUAUAGCUUGACACUGAACACUGGUCCUUGAUGUGCAGGAUAGGUGGGAGGCUUUGAAGUGUGGACGCCAGUCUGCAUGGAGCCAUCCUUGAAAUACCACCCUUUAAUGGCUGGUGUUCUAACGUGGGCCCCUGACCGGGGUUGCGGACAGUGUCUGGUGGGUAGUUUGACUGGGGCGGUCUCCUCCUAAAGAGUAACGGAGGAGCACGAAGGUUGGCUAAUCCUGGUCGGACAUCAGGAGGUUAGUGCAAUGGCAUAAGCCAGCUUGACUGCGAGCGUGACGGCGCGAGCAGGUGCGAAAGCAGGUCAUAGUGAUCCGGUGGUUCUGAAUGGAAGGGCCAUCGCUCAACGGAUAAAAGGUACUCCGGGGAUAACAGGCUGAUACCGCCCAAGAGUUCAUAUCGACGGCGGUGUUUGGCACCUCGAUGUCGGCUCAUCACAUCCUGGGGCUGAAGUAGGUCCCAAGGGUAUGGCUGUUCGCCAUUUAAAGUGGUACGCGAGCUGGGUUUAGAACGUCGUGAGACAGUUCGGUCCCUAUCUGCCGUGGGCGCUGGAAGAUUGAGGGGGGCUGCUCCUAGUACGAGAGGACCGGAGUGGACGCAUCACUGGUGUUCGGGUUGUCAUGCCAAUGGCACUGCCCGGUAGCUACAUGCGGAAGAGAUAAGUGCUGAAAGCAUCUAAGCACGAAACUUGCCCCGAGAUGAAUCUUCCCUGAGCCUUUAAGGCUCCUGAAGGAACGUUGAAGACGACGACGUUGAUAGGCCGGGUGUGUAAGCGCAGCGAUGCGUUGAGCUAACCGGUACUAAUGAACCGUGAGGCUUAACCUUACAAC
rnacentral:rRNA from 1 species